CGGGAUAACUGUAGUUCUUCAAGUGGUGAUGGUGGAGUUUUUAAAGAAGUUUGCUGACACAGAGAGGUUGAAUUGGCAGCAAUGGUUAGCUUGUAUCGCAAUGGCAGCCUUCACAUGGCCAAUUGGUUGGGCUGUGAAGUUUAUACCUGUUACAGAGAAACCAAUAUUCAGUUACCUCAAGCGGUUAAGAUUCCUGAAGGAAGAUGCUUCUUUGUGGUAGAUUGUUUGCUUAAUCUUUGUGAAGUUUAUACCUGUUACAGAGAAACCAAUAUUCAGUUACCUCAAGCGGUUAAGAUUGAUAUUCACAAAGAUUAAGCAAACAAUCUACCACAAAGAAGCAUCUUCCUUCAGGCUCGGAACAGCAUGAGGUUUAUGGUGAGGUCCUGAACCGCCAAGGUCAUACCUGGGAAGAUUUAUAUCCC
rnacentral:lncRNA from 1 species